UCGAGCGACGAAAGGGUCUUCGGGCCCCUGAAAGCGGCGAACGGGUGAGUAACACGUGGGUAACCCACCCUCGGUACCGGGAUAGCCCGGGGAAACCCGGAUUAAUACCGGAUGGCCUCUCCGGUCUACGGAUUGGCGAGAAAAGGUAGCUUCGGCCUCCGACCGAGGACGGGCCCGCGGCCGAUUAGUUUGUUGGCGGGGUAACGGCCCACCAAGGCGACGAUCGGUAGCUGGUCUGAGAGGACGAUCAGCCACACUGGGACUGAGACACGGCCCAGACUCCUACGGGAGGCAGCAGUGGGGAAUCUUGCGCAAUGGGCGGAAGCCUGACGCAGCGACGCCGCGUGCGGGAAGAAGGCCUUCGGGUUGUAAACCGCUUUCAGAAGGGACGAAGCCACUCGGGUGAAUAGCCCAGAGGGUGACGGUACCUUCAGAAGAAGCCCCGGCUAACUACGUGCCAGCAGCCGCGGUAAUACGUAGGGGGCCAGCGUUG
rnacentral:rRNA from 1 species